AUGUGUUUUUCUGUAUUUGGAAACAUUUCCAGGCUGAAGCUUUGUCAAAGUAUUUCAAAGGGAAGAAGAAUAAUAAGGCUAGUAAGUACCAUCUUUCAAGGUUCAAGAAUUUGUUUUGGAAUGGGAAAAACCAAAAGAAUGGUGUGAUGUUGGACUUUAUUUGAUGAGGUAUAUGGAAACAUAUAAAGGAGAUAUGAAGGCAUGGGAUCCACAAUUGAAACUUCAAACUGAUGCAUUUCUGAAGAAAUUGAGAGUUAAAUAUUGUCAUUCAAUCUUGACCAGUGAAGUCAAUUCUUUGAAGGAAACAAUUGAAAAGAAGUGGAGAGAAUUCCGGAAACUAAAAAUCUAAUGUCCAUGUCAAAACUCAGAAGAAAUGGAAUGCACCUCCCAUGUGUGGGGAGCUUCAGAUUUUGGUCUGAAUGUGAAGAUUGCUGUUGGUGUAUUGUUUAAGGAUUUCUGAUUGGAUUUGUAACUUUUUGAAGCUCUUCUGGAUAGCUGAUGGUGCGAGCUCAUGGUUUCAUUGCUUUACAUGUUGAAGCCUUAGCUAUUCUAUGUGCGUGGUUUGCAAGCAGCAUGCAGAGAUGAUGUUUAAAGCAUUAAAAUCUACACUGACUUUGCUAAUGUUAUUGCAGUCAGGAAGAAAUAACCUUUUUCGGCAAUGUUUUAUUAGUAAGAUUUGCUAGGUUGUUUGUUCUUGAAGCGCGUCUCUUAGCCACUAAGCUAGACAGAGCAAGGGAUACUGAUUGUAUCUUCCUGUUUGUAAUUAAUGAGACAAUGCCUUAAACUAGGAAGAUUAGGUAGCAUCUUAAUAUUCUAGCCUUUGUUUAAUGAUAUUUGAACGUUGCUAUGUGCCCGUUAAUAGUCUGCUUCAAAAUUGAGUGUA